rnacentral:siRNA from 1 species
GUCCCCACCUCCUGAAAAUGGUUC